GCCAAAAUCAAGUCAGAUGCUUAACCACCUGAGGCACUCACAUGCCCCAUCUCCUCGAGUUUUUAUUGAGGGAAUGAGUGGCUCAAUUUGGAGAUGUUCAGUUUUGAAAUUGUCUUCACUAAGAGAUUGUGUUCUAUUCAUGUCUUUCAAAUAGGCUUGCUUUUCUAAGGGUUUGCUUAUUCCUGCAGCUCGUUUCUCAACAUUAAUAAGGUAUUAACGGGGAACCUUUUAAUUUAGGAAACAUUUUAGAGGGGUUUGUGUGGUGAGGAGGAUAUGGUCAUUUCAGGGGAUUUCCUGUGUGUAUUCUUCUUUCUCUAGAUUUUUGGGUAAGUCGAAGCUUUGUCCAAGAAGGCAACUGCCAUUUGCAACCCUACUUUGUCAAUGAAACCUGUUGCAUUAAAACCUUCAAACUUAUCUUCAACUGAAAAAUUAAGAAGCAUUCGGUGUCCAUGUGAACUCUUCUAUGUUUGCUGCUCCAAAAUUAUUUCUAAGGGCACAGCAGCAUCAGUCAUCACUGGUAGCCCCGAGCCAACAGAUUUUUGCCGAGUGCACAUUUCACUGGCCUGCACUAUCACUGGAAGCAGAGAAGUUGGUGCAAGGCUUAGUACGCACCCUUUCUUCAGAGCCUUCACUGGCAGACAGGGACAUGCAUCAUCCAACCCAGGUCUGAACAGCGAGUUCAGAAGCCAUUUCAUUAUUUAAAUUUCCGAUCUGCAGUGUUGUAUGAAAUACUGUUAGGAACUCUCUGCUUUAGGAUCUGUAGAAUAUCAACACACUUCCAAACCUAAAUCUAAAGCGGUGGUGCUUAAUAAUUUAUAUGACCGCCUCUUCCCGACCAUCCCCCUCCCCGCCACCCCACCCCUCCCCAAGUGUUGUUAAAAAUAAUGAAAUAGAGGAUCGACACUCUCAGAGAAUGUAACACGCCAAUUUAUGAUUCUAAUUCUCUGUUUGGUCAUCUGAAAUAUACUAUUUUAACAGCUUUAUGCCUUUCGCAGGUAUUUCUUAAAAGCAAUUCCUACUUGCAUUACUGUUCCGUAAAUGUUUUGGCUUGAAAGAGAAAAUGUGUCCUUCAAACAAGUUUAUUUCUUUCAGGGCUACUUCUGUAUGUGAAUUCCUCCUGGUGACUACCCCGUGUUUUCUGUUAUCACCUUCUCAGGGUUCAAUUCAUUACCCCUGUUCAUUAUUCAAUUUGUUGGGCUUUGAGCACCUGAAUAAUUGAAAGCUAUGCAAGUAUUAUAAAUUAUAUUGUCCACACUCAUAAUCCCCAUUUUAGAGUUUAUAGCUUCACUGUAAAAAUUCACUGUGUUGGAACCUUACAUACAAGGUCUUAUAUUGAAAACAAAUUAAUUUAUAAAUACAUUUUUUUUCUCCCCCAAACUCAAUAUUUAUCAAAUCUUACAUUUUUCAGUUAUGGUUUUUAUGGCUUUUACUGCCAUAGCAAGACCAAUGAAAAGAAUGUUUUACACGAUCACUAUUUCAUUCUUUUUUUGCAACAAAUAUUUAUGGAAUGACUAUUCCUUUGACAGUGGGAGGCUGGGGUGAGGUCAGCCUAUUCUCUUCGGAGAUGAAAGGGAAAGCAGCCCUUUCAGUGAUGGCUUCCACCUCCUGAUGGCACUCCCAAGAGAGAACAAAAAAUACACCCUCAACAAAUCCUAAGUGGUCCUGUCUCUGUAGCCUUUGCCCCUUGGCUCUCCCUGGUCCA
rnacentral:lncRNA from 1 species